GCGGAAAGAAAGGCUAUUCCCAGUUCUCCACAUCAGUGCCACAUGAUACCCCACGGGCAUGAUCCUAGGCAGGCACAGGGGCAUGUGGCCUUUGGAGCCAAGGCAGAGCCCUGCUCCUGGUUGUCCCCAGCCCAGGGCUCGGGCUUCCAUGGCAGACUCAAGGAGCCCGUCUCCCUCCAUCCAGCCACACACUCAGGCCCUGCUUUCUCAGGAGCGGACUCUUCCAGAAGCAGCUGUGGGAAAUCAUGGAGGACUGAGGCCCAGUGUCAGCUUCCAGGAGGUGCAUACGCCAUCUUGAAUUUUCCAGCACGGUUGAACCUUGGGACUGCAGACAACGACCAGGGGAGUCAGUCCACAGAAAAUGAAGAUAAUAUCUUAAUCUUUUAAACCACUGAAACUAGUAAGGCCCUGGAACACGGUGUUGAUGGAAGUGGCAAAGUAUCAUCAUACUCCCAAUCUCGGAAGGAAGGUCUUCAAUAUUUCACCAUUUAUGAUGUUUGGAUUAAGAUUUUUUUCCUUGUUAAUUCCUUUUAUCAGAUUAUGGAUAUUCCUUUUUGUUUCUAAUUUGCUAAGAAUCUUUAAACAAUAAUUUUUAAAAUUUUUACUAAAUCCUUUCUUGUAUAUUUUGAUGAUUCUAUGACUUUUUUUUCUAUUAGUUGAAUGGCACUGAUUGAUUUCAGAUGUUAAAUCAACCUUGCCUUCCUGCUGUAAGUCUAAUUUGGUUGCUAUUAUUUUUCUUUUUAUAUGUUGCUGUAUUCAAUUUUCUUUUAUUUCUUUCUCUUUUCUUUCUCCUUUUGGAUCUAUGUUUGGAAAAGAGAUUGGUGUACUAUUUUCCCUUUUGUAAAAUCCUUACUGGAUUUUUAAUAUAAAGGUUGUGCUAGCCUCGAAA